UGGGAACGUGCCCUUUGGUUCGGAACAACUCCGGGAAACUGGAGCUAAUACCGGAUAAGCCCUUCGGGGGAAAGAUUUAUCGCCAAAGGAUCGGCCCGCGUCUGAUUAGCUAGUUGGUGAGGUAAUGGCUCACCAAGGCGACGAUCAGUAGCUGGUCUGAGAGGAUGACCAGCCACACUGGGACUGAGACACGGCCCAGACUCCUACGGGAGGCAG
rnacentral:rRNA from 1 species